GGCCGGGAUGGCCAGGGUGCCUGUGGGCCGCGUGUCCUGAGCGCAGGUCCUUCGGUCCUGGGAGGGAGCCGUGGGCGGAUUUCAGCCCUCCGGGCCGGUCAGUCUUGCUCCGAGACCCUGGAGAUGCGAUAAGCGGCAGGAGCUGGUGUCGCGCCGCGAGUUUGGGAAGAAUCCCCGGCGGCUGGGAGGCCGGACGGCCGCCCUGCCUUAAACCCAGGGCCGAUUUCUUCGGGCCUCAGCGGCCCGCCUCGCACUUUCCGGCCGCCCCGGCAGCCCCUCCUCCGGUCCACUGUUUGGCCAUCUAUCUGGCUCCUCGCCAAGCAGGGUGGCCUUGAGGCCUUAUGUUCAGAAGUCGCACCGACCUGGAGGCCCGGGUGCGCGGAAGGGGCACUGCAACGACCAGUUUACAAAGAGCCCCAGGACCAGAGGACCGGACUGCUCUUACUGUAGUUCUUGUGAAAAAGAAAAGGAGCCAAUGUUUCCAUUAAUGCUUCAAGAAUGUUCAGAACUCGACGGCGCCAAAGGAUUGCAGAGCAGAGCGGCUGAAGAGCCGUGAACAAUUCCAAAGGCUGUGGCCUCCAUUCCCAGUGAAGCCCGAAUUACAACUUGCCAACCUACUAAGCCUUCCUCCUCCUCUUUCACGUGGAUCCGCGUUUCUUGUUCUUCAUUGCUUCGUCUUCCCUUAGAGCGAAGGAAUCUGUCAUUUAACGGGGGAUACACCGAGGAGCCAAGAGUUUAUCUUUUCAGCCUGUGUCACAGUUGGAGGGAAAGUUGCUAAGUGACUUCUUAAGAAGAGAGAGAGUAGGGCAUUUUCUGUUUUCCCUUCACAAAACAUUUUGUUGUUGUUUGAGGCCUUAGUUGUUUUUUAUUUUUUCCUUCCGGUGGGCCCCCUACCCAGAGAGGUUCAGGUCCCUGGAAGAGAAACUUUACCGAUGUGAUUACGUUAAGAAUCUUAAAGAGAUUAUCCUGGAUGGUCCAGUGGGCCCAGUGUAAUCGGAAAGGUCCUUACCAGUAGGAGGUGGGCGCGUCAGAGUCCAUGUGUCAAUGGAAGCAGCGGCUGGAGUGGAUGCAGUGGGAGAAAGACCCAGCCGAACAAUGAUGGCUUUGAACAUUGGAGGAAGGGGACCCAGGUCCCAGAAUGCAGGUGGCCUCGGAAAGGGAGAAAAAGUCGGGAAACAGAGUCUUCCUUUGAGCCUCCAGGGGGAACACAGUCUUGCCGACACCUUGAAUUGAGCACACUGAGACCAACUGUGGACUUGCGGCCUUCGGAGCAGGAAGGCUCCUGUUGCUCCAGUAUUCCUUCCAUUUUCUCUGCAAAGUGAAUGCCUGAGCACCAGUGAGGAAGCCGAAGCACUUGCAGAUGUCUAAAGGUCCUGAAACUGGGCUCUGGGGGGUCCAGGGUUGCUAUGGGGACCACCUGGCUUCUUCCCUCUUAACAUAGGAGGAAAUUAUUUUGUCCACCUGGUGGUGGAGGGAAAACUCCACAGCAGAGAAACCCAUCCUGCUUCUCAAGGACACUGAGGGAUGUUGAUGGGAAGAGGGAAAAGGCCCCUCCGGGUGCCGGAGGCAGGCGAGGCCAACCUCGGGGGUCCCCGCUGUGCGCCAGUGCUUCUUCAUGGACUGUCCUAAGGAAAUGUCGCUAUGGAGGUGGGGUUAGCAAUGGUCAUGCUUUGGGGCUAGACCUCAGGAACUGGCCUGAGGACAGGUGGGAAGAGAAUGGUACCCAUCACAGUUGGUUUCUCAUUUAAAAACAAACAAACAAAAACUUUGUAUCCCAUCAACAUUCUCAUUUACAGAGCCAGCACUGUCUCUGGAAUUGGAGACAGUUUCAAGUCAUAGGUCUCCACUUAGCGGUGGUGUCACUUUGGCAACUCACUUUGCCUGGAUGCGAUCCCAGUUCAUCUGCAGAACACAGAUAACACCUACCCUGCACAUCGUGGGGAAGAUAAAAAUAAUGUAUGUAAAAUACCUGGAAAAUAAGCAGCCCUCAAAUGAUAGCCAUAUUAUUCAUAAUCAAGGAAACAGGAGGCGAGGAUUUCUCAAGGUUGAGCAGCUGGUGGAUAAAUGGUGGAACCAAGACCCCAUCC
rnacentral:lncRNA from 1 species